AACGAACGCUGGCGGCGCGCCUAAUACAUGCAAGUCGAGCGAGAAGACGUAGCAAUACGUUUGUAAAGCGGCGAACGGGUGAGGAAUACAUGGGUAACCUACCCUCGAGUGGGGAAUAACUAGCCGAAAGGUUAGCUAACACCGCGUACGCUCCUUAGACUUCGGUUCAGGGAGGAAAGCGAUACCGUGGGUAUCGCGCUCUUGGAUGGGCUCAUGUCCUAUCAGCUUGUUGGNGAGGUAACGGCUCACCAAGGCUUCGACGGGUAGCUGGUCUGAGAGGACGAUCAGCCACACUGGCACUGCGACACGGGCCAGACUCCUACGGGAGGCAGCAGUAAGGAAUAUUGCGCAAUGGGCGAAAGCCUGACGCAGCGACGCCGCGUGGGGGAUGAAGGUCUUCGGA
rnacentral:rRNA from 1 species